rnacentral:ncRNA from 1 species
UCGUCAGGCUCAAAUGGGCUCAUGCGACAGUAAUGUUGUAUGGAAAACUCGUCAAAUUCGGUGAAGCCUUCUCUGUACAAACAGAAUGGUAAUACCGAGCCAAGCUUCAAUUUUUGAAUAAGGUGUAGAGACUAGACGGCGAGUAUCCCAAAAGUUUUUAAGGGAUAAAGGUAUAGUCCAGACCACGAAUCCGUUU